GUUCAACUGACAUGUCCCAAAUAGGACGAAACGUGCGUCCUGGAU
rnacentral:hammerhead_ribozyme from 1 species